CCCCUAGACGUUCUGGGCUGCACGCGCGCUACAAUAAUACGCACAGCGAGUAUCACCGAGCUCGAAAGGGCAAGGUAAACAAUAGAAAAGGUACUGUAAUGGUUAUAGAUCCUUGUAAUUAUUGAUCUUCAACGAGGAAUUCCUAGUAAGUAUGUGUCAUCAUCACGCACUGAUUACGUCCCUGCCCUUUGUACACACCGCCCGUCGCUACUACCGAUUGAAUGGUUUAGUGAGAUCCUUGGAUCGGCCCUGUCGCGGCUGGCAACGGCCGCGUCGGCGCGUCGAGAAGACGAUCAAACUUGAUCAUUUAGAGGAAGUAAAAGUCGUAACA
rnacentral:rRNA from 1 species